rnacentral:rRNA from 1 species
AUUGAACGCUGGCGGCAGGCCUAACACAUGCAAGUCGAGCGGAUGAGGGAAGCUUGCUUCCCGAUUUAGCGGCGGACGGGUGAGUAAUGCCUAGGAAUCUGCCUAUUAGUGGGGGAUAACGUUCCGAAAGGAACGCUAAUACCGCAUACGUCCUACGGGAGAAAGUGGGGGAUCUUCGGACCUCACGCUAAUAGAUGAGCCUAGGUCGGAUUAGCUAGUUGGUGAGGUAACGGCUCACCAAGGCGACGAUCCGUAGCUGGUCUGCGAGGAUGAUCAGCAACACUGGAACGGAGACACGGUCCAGACUCCUACGGGAGGCAGCAGUGGGGAAUAUUGGACAAUGGGCGAAAGCCUGAUCCAGCCAUGCCGCGUGUGUGAAGAAGGUCUUCGGAUUGUAAAGCACUUUAAGUUGGGAGGAAGAGUUGUAAGCUAAUAUCUUGCAGCUUUGACGUUACCAACAGAAUAAGCACCGGCUAACUCUGUGCCAGCAGCCGCCGUAAAAC